GCGCGGAGGCUCGGCGGGGCCGGCCGGCGCGCUGCAUCUGGCCGGCGGGGUUCCGAGCUCGCCGGCCGGGAGCGGCAGCGCUCUCCGGGCAAGUGGACAAGUCCCGCGCCCUGCUGCGCUGCGCCAUGCCGGAGGGCUGAGCAUCGGGGCCCGCUGCUCUUUGGGACACUGCAGGACCUCGUCCCGCUUUGCGUUGGGACUGCGCGCGCCAGGGCCGAGCCCGGGCCGCUGACCAUGGUGCUGCCUCCUCCAGACCGGCGCCACGUGUGCCUGACCACGCUGGUGAUCAUGGGCAGUAUGGCCGUCAUGGACGCAUACCUGGUGGAGCAAAACCAGGGCCCGCGCAAGAUUGGCGUGUGCAUAAUUGUGUUGGUAGGCGAUGUGUGCUUCCUGCUGGUGCUGCGCUAUGUGGCC
rnacentral:lncRNA from 1 species